rnacentral:rRNA from 1 species
AGCGAACGCUGGCGGCAGGCUUAACACAUGCAAGUCGAGCGGGCAUCCUUGUGGUGUCAGCGGCAGACGGGUGAGUAACGCGUGGGAACGUGCCCUUCGGUUCGGAAUAACUCAGGGAAACUUGAGCUAAUACCGGAUACGCCCUUUUGGGGAAAGGUUUACUGCCGAAGGAUCGGCCCGCGUCUGAUUAGCUAGUUGGUGAGGUUAUGGCUCACCCAGGCGACGAUCAGUAGCUGGUCUGAGAGGAUGAUCAGCCACACUGGGACUGAGACACGGCCCAGACUCCUACGGGGAGCCGCAGGGGGGAAUAGUGGACCAUGGGGGGCACCCUUAUCCCACCAAGCCGCGUGAGUGAUGACGGCCGUAGGGUUGGAAAGGUCUUUUUUCCGGGACCAUAAUGACGGUACCGGAGGAAUAAGGCCCGGCUAACUUCGUG